AACGCGAAGAACCUUACCUGGGCUCGAAAUGUUAUGGACCGGAGUAGAAAUAUUCCUUCCCCGCAAGGGGCCGUAAUAUAGGUGCUGCAUGGCUGUCGUCAGCUCGUGUCGUGAGAUGUUGGGUUAAGUCCCGCAACGAGCGCAACCCUUAUUGCCAGUUGCCAUCGGGUCAAGCCGGGCACUCUGGCGAAACCGCCCUAGAUAAUGGGGAGGAAGGUGGGGAUGACGUCAAGUCCUCAUGGCCUUUAUGUCCAGGGCUACACACGUGCUACAAUGGCCGGUACAAACCGUCGCAAACCCGCGAGGGGGAGCUAAUCGGAAAAAGCCGGCCUCAGUUCGGAUUGGAGUCUGCAACUCGACUCCAUGAAGCUGGAAUCGCUAGUAAUCGCAGAUCAGAACGCUGCGGUGAAUACGUUCCCGGGCCUUGUACACACCGCUAGUC
rnacentral:rRNA from 1 species